AAAAAACAUUCAUAAUAUGGCUUUCUUUUCAGGUGUGUUCAGUUGUUUCACUAGCAAUGUUCCUUCAAGAGUUUGUGAUGAUGCAAACAAGUCAAAAUCAUCAACAGCAAACACCAAAAAGAAAUCAUCAUCAAGAGCUCCAAUUCCUAUUUCUUACUUCCCUAUCAACUCACAAGUUUCACGUUUGUAGUAUCUUACACUAUUAGGUCAUUCAAAUAAUUUUUACAGGUUCAAUUUCACGAAGAAUAUAUCAUACAUGGAGAUCCAAUUAGUUGCUAUCUAUGAUUCUCAUUUGAUUCUAGUGCUAGUUGUGUAGAGAAAGGGGAAAUUAAUUUGUACUUUUACAUAUUUU